rnacentral:rRNA from 1 species
UAAUACGUAGGGUGCAAGCGUUAAUCGGAAUUACUGGGCGUAAAGCGUGCGCAGGCGGUUAUGUAAGACAGAGGUGAAAUCCCCGGGCUCAACCUGGGAACUGCCUUUGUGACUGCAUAGCUGGAGUGCGGCAGAGGGGGAUGGAAUUCCGCGUGUAGCAGUGAAAUGCGUAGAUAUGCGGAGGAACACCGAUGGCGAAGGCAAUCCCCUGGGCCUGCACUGACGCUCAUGCACGAAAGCGUGGGGAGCAAACAGG